UACGGGGGGAGCAAGCGUUGUUCGGAUUUACUGGGCGUAAAGGGCGCGUAGGCGGUAGCACAAGUCAGUUGUGAAAUCUCCGGGCUUAACUCGGAAAGGUCAACUGAUACUGCUCGGCUAGAGUGCGGAAGGGGCAACUGGAAUUCUUGGUGUAGCGGUGAAAUGCGUAGAUAUCAAGAGGAACACCUGCGGCGAAGGCGGGUUGCUGGGCCGACACUGACGCUGAUGCGCGAAAGCGUGGGGGAGCGAACAGG
rnacentral:rRNA from 1 species